CCAGAUUCGCUAUUUGCAGCAUCAGAGUGUCCGGUAUAUCUGGGAUCCGAACAAGAGAUCCUUCAUCGUACUGAGGGGUCUGGAACAAAAUGUCUCCUGCUCCGAUCUCCACAGCAAAUACCUCGACGGGCUGGUCUAUCAGGAAUCACAGAACAGGAAGCUGAUUUACGGACCGAAUGUUAUAGCAGUGCAAGUGCCUCCGUAUUGGAAACUCCUCGGGAAAGAG